CAUGGAAUUUGGAUCCAUAUUUUAUGGGCGGAGCUAAUAAUAUAAAGAAAAUGCACCAGACCAAAAAAAGUCUUCAGAAACAAGGAAUAGCAGAGAAGCUGAAUGAAGGAAAGAAAAUCUUAGUGUACUCAAGUCCUUUUGGAAGUGACACAAUGAUUGCCCAGGUUUAUGGGAAGGAAGAUGCAAGAGGUGGGAAUUUGCAAUAAGAAUGUCCUUUUACUGAGAAAGAGCCCAGCCAUUGUUACUUGUUGCUGAGAAAAGGAUAAUGCUGCUAUCAGCUUCAUUAUCUACUUCACCUCUGGUUCAUUCACCAGCUGCAUCCUUAAGUCAAUAUUUCUCCAGCAAAUUACGAGACUACAAUGAAAGGUCAGAGACACCACGAUGGACCUCACAGCGGCUGGCACCAGGACCUCGAUGGACACUGGGUUAUGGCAUGCAAGAACCUGUGCUCCUUGGGAAGGCCGACAUGCAAACAACAAGACACCAAGCUAGGUUUGCAGAAGUCAGUGAACGAAGGAAGACAAAUAAUUAAAUAAAUAAAACGUUGUGGUGAUUGGAAAUAGGAUGCCACAGUGAUAGGAGCCCUAGGCUGGAAUCGUUGUGCUGGUUUGGCAUUCCCAGAUCCGUGCACUGUGAUAACAAAGAUUGUGAUGACCUGCAAGGAAACCUGUGGGAAGGGCAAUGGCUGGAGCAGUGUGUGCAGCAGUCUGCUUGUCAGGUAUGCUGGGUGCACUGGCACAAAUUAGAGAUGAGUGUGUGGUGCUGCCAGCAGUGCUGCACAGGGACUCCGCAACCCACUGAGCGCGUAGGGUUUGCAUUUCCUUCCUGAUGACAAGAUACAAUUUUGGCCAAAAAUCCUUCCGGUGCCUGUGGUCACAGGUGCUGGUGAGGAUGGGGGUGAGUUACGUGUGAGA
rnacentral:lncRNA from 1 species